GAGAAAGAAAGAGAAAUGGCGCCUCGGCACUCCACUAGCUGAGACACAGUCAAAACGAAGGCAACUGAUAACUAAAGGACAGAACCCGUUUAUCAGCGGGGACAGACAGCAAUCAUGGUGAACACUAGAAAGAGCUCGGAGCACAAGGUAAAUAGUCCCUUCAUCUCGGGCCGGACGCGGUCGUCUCAGAGGAACAACCCAAACUUGGACGAGCACAACAGCCGUGUAAGGAAGAGAGAGACACCGGCUCCUUAUUCCCUUCGCCAACCGAAGGAGACCAGUAGUGAUGUUAACAGCAGUAGCCCACAUUUGUCCCCACCACCAAAGCGGACACGCAGACAGACGCCCCCGAGUUCAACCGAUACUUCCCCAAGCCCCAAGAGUAAAGGCCAGAGAGGCCCAUGGAACAUGCCCAGACACUGUACCAGGUUGUCCACUGGUGCCUUGCAGAAUGGACACCAUCAUGAUUUUUUCUUUAAACCUGUAGGUCGAAUGAACCUGCAGGGUGAUACUACAUCAGAUGGGGACCAUGGUCACAUGAACGGUCAUGUUGAGCUCAAAAGAAGCCGCCGCGUCAGGAAGAGCCAAUUCGAACACCUCAAUCAGAGUUUACUUUUCGACCAGCUUGUCAACAGUACGGCAGAGGCAGUUCUUCAAGAGAUGGACAACAUCAGCAGCAUUCGUCAGAAUCGGGAAGUGGAGCGCCUCCGCAUGUGGACGGACACUGAACUGGAAAACAUGGACAUGUACUCUCGCGUGAAGAGGAGGAAAUCGAUGCGGAGGAACACAUUUGGAAUGCAGAACCAUCACAAAGCCCUCGGCAAAUCGAAGGACACUGAAGAGGAGGAAGGAACUGAAGAGUCUCACGACGAGGGAGAGGAGGAUGAAGAUGUGGAGGCAGAUGAUGAUGAUGAUGAUGAUGAUGGAGACGAGGCAGAAGAAGCUGAAGAGGAGAAUGACAGACCUUAUAACCUCAGGCAGCGUAAAACUGUGCAGCGAUAUGAAGCUCCACCAAUAGAGCCAGUGAACAGGAAGCAAAGCAAGGGCAGCCUCUUUGACACACACAGAUCUCCUGCAAGAAGAAGCCAUAUUAGAAUUAAGAAACAUGCAAUUCACAGUAGUGAAUCAACAUCAUCAUCUGAUGAAGAGCGCUUUGAGAGGCGGAAAAGCAAAAGCAUGAGCCGAGCUCGUAACAGGUGUCUACCUAUGAACCUGCGGGCAGAGGAUCUGGCCAGCGGUGUACUUAGGGACCGUGUGAAAGUGGGUGCCAGUUUGGCAGAUGUGGAUCCCAUGAAUCUGGACACUUCUGUGAAGUUUGACUGUGUUGGAGGUCUUACCCAUCACAUCCAGUCUUUGAAAGAGAUGGUUGUCUUUCCUCUUAUAUAUCCAGAAGUGUUCGAGAAGUUUAAAAUCCAGCCCCCGAGAGGAUGCCUGUUUUAUGGGCCUCCAGGAACAGGGAAGACGCUGGUUGCACGGGCUUUGGCUAAUGAAUGCAGUCAGGGGGACAGGAAAGUGUCUUUUUUCAUGCGCAAGGGCGCCGACUGCCUCAGCAAAUGGGUGGGAGAGUCGGAGCGACAGCUCCGCCUACUUUUUGACCAGGCAUACCUCAUGAGACCUUCCAUCAUCUUCUUUGAUGAAAUUGAUGGUCUCGCUCCUGUACGCUCCAGCAGACAGGAUCAAAUUCACAGCUCGAUAGUGUCCACACUACUGGCGUUGAUGGAUGGUUUGGACAGUCGGGGGGAGAUAGUGGUCAUCGGUGCUACUAACAGACUCGACUCUAUCGACCCCGCACUCAGGAGGCCCGGACGCUUUGACCGGGAGUUUCUGUUCAACCUGCCCGAUAAAAAGGCUCGAAAGCACAUUUUAGAAAUCCACACCAGGGACUGGAACCCCAAGCUAGCUGAACCCUUCAUAGAUGAGCUAGCGGAGAAAUGUGUCGGUUACUGUGGGGCCGACAUCAAAGCACUUUGCACAGAGGCUGCUCUAGCAGCCCUGCGGCGGCGCUAUCCUCAGAUUUACGGCAGCAGUCAGCGUUACCAGCUGGAUGUGGGCUCCAUUGUUUUGGGGCCACAAGACUUUGGCCAUGCCCUGCGCUCCAUAGUACCUGCAGGCCAGAGGACCCUUGCUCCUCCCGGUCAGGCUCUCUCCUGCGUGUUGAGACCCUUGCUGGAGCCCACGCUGGCUCAAACACUAGCCUGCCUGAUGCGAGUCUUCCCCCACGCAGAGCUGCUGCACAGGGAACAUACACAUGACACUGACAAUCAUCUGUUGGCGGCGGAGGACUCGUACAGCGAGGACGAGGAGUGUCUUGGUGCUCCUUCUAUAUAUGAAACUCAGUCAGGAUCCACAAAGAAAGCAGCUUCAUCUGCAACCCAUAAACCUUUUCUCCACUUUACCACUUCUGCCUACCAGCAGCCCACCUCUUACCGGCCGCGGCUGCUGCUCACGGGGCCUCAGGGUGCGGGGCAGAGCACACACGUGGCCCCUGCUCUGCUGCAUCACCUGGAGAAGUUCACUGUGCACCGUCUCGAUCUUCCCACGCUGUACUCAGUCAGUGCCAAAACUCCAGAGGAGUCCUGCGCUCAGGUGUUUCGUGAGGCUCGGCGUUGUGUCCCUAGCGUGAUCUACAUGCCUCACAUCAGUGAUUGGUGGGAAGCCAUCAGUGAGACUGUGAAGAGCACCUUCCUCACACUGCUGCAGGAUGUGCCCUCAUUCACCCCACUCCUCAUCCUCUCCACAGCAGAGACCGUCUACCAGCAGCUCCCAGACGAGCUUAAGUGCAUCUUCAGUCGUUCACACGGGGAGGUGGUUUGUUUAACCACACCGGGGGAAGAAGCUCGCAGGAGAUUCUUUUCAGACCUCAUUUUGGUGCAGGCAGCAAAGGCGCCACCCCGCAGGAGAAAAACAGUGUGCGCUCUUGAGGUGCUGCCCCUCUCUGAGGACCCUGGCCCUCGACAGCUCUCUCCAGAAGAGCAGAGGCGAUUGGUUGACCAGGAGGAGAACACCUUACGGGAGCUCCGCCUCUUUCUCAGGGAUGUCACAAAGCGGCUCGCCACUGACAAGCGCUUCCUCAUCUUCAGCAAGCCUGUGGACAUUGAAGAGGUUUCGGACUACCUCGAGGUGAUCAAGCAACCUAUGGAUCUGUCCACCAUCAUGCUGAAGAUCGACACUCACAAGUAUACAGUCACCAAGGAUUUUCUAGCAGACAUUGACCUCAUAUGCAGCAACGCGUUAGAAUACAAUCCAGACAAGGACCCGGGAGAUAAAAUCAUCCGCCACAGGGCCUGCAGCCUGAAGGAUACGGCACACGCCAUGAUCGCCUCUGAGUUAGACCCCGAGUUUGACCACAUGUGCGAGGAGAUCAAGGAGUCCCGCAGGAAGAGAGGCUCUCAGACCACACCGCAGCCACCCAUUACUCCAAGCGCUGUGGCGACCAGGAAUCCUACAGGAGAAGAGGUGGGAUUAAGCAGUUCUCAGGGUGAUGGAGUGGACAAGCACUGCAGCAAUAGCUUUAAGCGCAAACUGCGGAGGCGACCAAUGUGGGGGCGGGGCAUCAUCAGGAAGAAAAAGAUUUAUAAAAAGGAGGAAGCAGAGGAGGUUGAUGACCCAGAGGAGGAGGAGGAAGAGGAGGAGGAGAGGGCAGAUGACUCCACUGCAACCGCACAAGGUGAUGCUUGUUUCACUCAGGACGAGUCUUCCUGCGACAUCAUGGAGCUCCAUGUCAACAAACAGCCGCUCCAGGCCAACGGACAUGCCCUCUCCACAGAGGAGGAGAAUUCCUGCGAGCCGACAGUUGCUCCAGACUCUCAGGUCCAGGAGGAGGCCAGCCAGGCCUCCAUGGGGGAGGCUUCCAGCGGUAAGGAGACGACAGAGGUCGCUGCGGUCCCUGCACCUCAGGAGUUUGUGAAUGGAGACAAGUCUAUGGACAGUGUGGACAGUGAGGCACAUGGUAAAGAAACAGAGGGAGGUGAAAGGGAAGUGACUGUAGAUUUGGGCUCUGUUAAAGAAGUUGCUCUUGAUGAGAAACCAGAGGAGCAGAAAGAAUCAUCUGCCCCAGAAUGCAAUGCAAAGGAGACUGUGACUGCAGAGGAGGGAACAGUGUGUGAUGGAGAACAUGAAAAAGGAGUAUCAUCAAAAGGGAAGAAAUGUGGAAAAGGUCCAUCUGAACAGCAGCAGGAGGUAUUGACUGACAGACAUGAGGAACCUCUACAGUUUCUGCCACCUCCUGAUCUUGUGGUUGACCAUCAGCGGCUCCAGCAUCUAUUGGAGCAGGUGGUUUUGAAGAGUGAACGCUUCAGUGUGGAUCAUCUAGAGAGACUGUACUCCAUGCUCAGCCAGUGUAUUUACCAUUACCGCAGAGAUUACGACAAGACUCACCUUAUAGAGUAAAUCAGCAGUCUCCUCGGCAGUCAUGAUUUCCCAGUGCCAUCUAGUGCUCUGCAAACUCUACUAGCGAUGGAGAGGCAAGUUCAGCAUUUCGAAACAUUCCUGUGAUGAACAGAGGGCUUUCUGCGAGACCUGUAAUCUGAGACUUUUUUUGAUACUCAAGUGAGAGGCCAGCGUUUGUGCCAAGUCCCUAAUGUGGAGUAGGUCUGGACGUCUCGGUCUAAAAUGACAACGAAAAAAAAAAAAAAGGUGCAGACAUUUGAAACAAAGGCUAACAGAGGCGACCUUGGUGCUAUCAUCUCAGGUACCUGGACAGAACCAAACACAAAAACUGUAGGUUUUGUUUUCUUUUGUUCAUUUCGUAAACUUACAUGCCAAUUGCUGAUGAACAUUCUUGGUGCUAUUGGGUGCUGUUGUUUUUCGUCUGCUGCUCCUCGUUCUCCUCAUUAAUAAGCAAACAAAAACACAAACGAACAGUACAAAAUAAAAGAUUGUGAUGUCACAGUUGAACCUCAGCUGCCGUCUACUGGAAGCAAACACACAACACAGAUUCUCACCAGUAGUGGCAAAACUGUACAAGGAUGGUGUGAAGCUCUAAAGGUCGAGUCAGUUGGUUAUUUACUGUGGAAACAAAGUACAAAACCCAUUUUCUAUGUCCACCCUCUCCCCAUCACGACCCCUGUGUUGUCACACCUUAUCAAUAUGAUUAUUUAAAACUUCUUACCUAUAAAAAAAACACAUCCCGCACAGUUUUCUAGGGAGUUUGUGACAAAUUAUCCUGCAGGAUUGUAAUUGUUUUCUACUGGAUGUUAUUGUAAGAUUCCAAGGCUUCUGUAUUAUUAACCUAGAUUUCCAGGUCAAAAAUGUCCUCCUCUUAAUACUAUUUGUCCCCUAUAAUCUGUUUUAAUAGAAAACAAACUAAAAUAAAUUGAGAGUUUUUAACUUUUAAUUGUAUAAAAUAGAUCUUUUGAAAUUUAAGACCCAUUGCAAAUUUUCACUUUAGGACUAGUUAAUAGUUUUUUGUAUGUUUGUUUGUUGUGGCAUUUUUGUCCUGGUAUAACUGGAUUUAAAACUAGAUAUCUGGCGAUUGGACUGCCUAGCACGUGCCUUAACCUCUAAAAUAGUAUCUUACAAGCUGAAGAACAUCGCAGACUAUCCAUUUUUGUGACAAGCCACUCUCCUGCAGCUUUAAAAUAAUUUAUUGACCGCGAUCCAUGACCGUGUUUGUUGUCUUGCCGUUUUAGAUACGUGACGUGUUGUAGUUCAGUCGUUUGCCAAUCUUUUCUUAAUGUCACCAACCAUGUCACGCACAAACCUCGUCUUCCUGGUUUGUGCGAGUCAGGUAUCUUGCCCAACUCCAUUGUACAUUGUGAUUUUCUUUCACCAUGCGUUAUUAUAACUUCACAUCACAACAUUGGAGUGAAAAGAACACAGUUUUUUUUUUGUGUGUGUGCGAGAAAAACCGUUCAAGGAAACAUUGGAAUUGCAGACUAGGCAGUGCAGAGUUUUUUAACAUUAAAAGCAUUACUAUCUUUUGUUUUUGUUUUUUUAUAUUUUAGUUCGUCCUUGAUAAUGUUUACUAUUUUUGCUAACUUGUACAAUGUCUAAUGUUGUGCUAAAUCCUUAGUUGUUAGCUAAUGCAUUAAAGGGUUAGUUCACCCAAAAAAGUACAAUUCCGUCAUCAUAUACUCAUCUUCAUCUCAUUCCAAACACGUAUAACUUACUUUCAUCGGUGGAACACAAAUGGUCACUAUUCACUUUUAUUGUAGGGACAAAGGGUGACUGAGGUUAACAGUAUGAUUAACUCUUUUCUUGUUCAAUGAAAGAAAGUAAUAUGGGUUUGGAAUUGCAUGAGGGUGGUUAAAUGAUGACAAAAUUGCCACUUUAGGUUGAACAAACCCUUUAAUAACAUGAUUUCAGUCUAAUUUUGACAGUGUAAGUAGUACUUCAUUCUCCCUCUCAAAUGUUCUCUUUUAUUUUUUUGUAAAGAACGUUGAUCCAGUUCAAGAGUCAACUUGACCUUGUCUAGGAUUCGGUGCUAUAAACGAAAAGGAGAAAACAAAAAAAUAAAAAUACAAUUAUUUUCUAAGACAUAUGCAAGGAAAAAAAAUGAGUUAGCUUUGGACUACUGCAGUACGUUUGAGAGAGACAGAACCACAGCUACCUCAGCAAGUUGUUUUCAUGCGAAGAGAGAAAAGUAAUGACCUGUUUACUGACAAACAGUAUUUGUUGACCUCUGUAAAAUCACUUCACCCUUUCAGAAAUUCAAGCUAAGGUACUGGAUCACCUCUCGUACAUGAACGAACGUGUCAUGCGGCAUUUAUCCUCGGGUAUGUUUGAAUUUUUAAUUUGUAUUUCUUUUUUGGGUUGUUCUGCUUUUGAGCCGAGAAAAGAAAUGGCAUUUUGAUAUUGGUGAAAUGUUAUAUACUGUAUAUUUCAGUUUUUCUACAUUUGCAUCCCAUGAUUACUGUUUGGUUAGUAUUUUCGAACACGGGCCAUAUUCAAGUGUUGUGUUAUUUUUCUAUUAUGUCCUAUCUCUUACGUUUUGCUUUCUCCUUUUAGUCCGCUGUUGUGUUUUCAAGUUUCGCAAUAGUAGUCACAUUUUCUUGCUUUUUCCUUCAUUCUGUAACAGACAGUUUGUUAUUUAUUAAAUUAUUAAACAUGGUCUUUAACAUUCAUAUGUUCAGCAUUUUGUAAAACAUUUGUUAAACGGAGACUAAUUGGAAAAAUGUUACACGGCUUAUGAUAUAUGUGCCGAGACACGAUGUAGCACAUUUUUGUAGCAGGUGUUUUGCGACAUUUAGAUACGGGGGGUCUAACUGGUCUGAGGUCUGCUACUUUAAUGAACCUAUUUAUUCCAUAAAGGGUAGAAAGGCUUCUUUUUCAUUUUAAAGUGUUACUAUUUAGGGUGAGAAUGAGGUUUAUGUGGCUAUUGUGCGUUUUAUGGUCCCUCUCCGUCAAAAAAAAAAAAAACAAACAAACAAAAAAAAAGACCUACUGUAACGCUGACCACUUGAGUUUAUCUCACAAAUCUGGGGGGUAAAAAGUAUUAGUUGGCAUUUCAGCUAAUUUUCCACUCGGUGUUCACCUAAGUAUCGUGCUAUUUGGUAGCUCACUAUUUUCGCAGCUAAAAUGUAAAUGGUAUUUGAUAAGAUGUCAAAUUGGCCGUAAAUUUAAAUUAAACCUUUGUGAACACAGCUUGGAAAUAAAAUGUAGCAUAUAUGAAACACCAUAUUUUUAGCAAUUUAACAAGUAACACUUAAAUCCAGCAUUAAAAUAUUAUAAUGGGGGCAUGAAAUAUAUGUGUAAUUACAAGUUAACGUUCCUUUAAUUGACCUGAGCCUAAAGAUUGCUCUUUUAAUGAGUGUAGGAAGUCUAUAGAACAAUAGAAUUUUGCCUAAUAUAGGUGUUAUGAAACAAAACCCCCUUUUUCAGUGUAAUUACAGGAUAAGUUCAGGAUCGGAAAUAUAACUUUUAAUGUACAAGUCAACACACAAUUAGGAGAGGUUUGCAAAGUAAAUUUCUUUGUCAAUAUUUUUAGUUAAUUCCAUCUAAUCAGUAGAUUUAUACCCCUUUACUUACUAAUUUACAAGGUUGAGGGAAUUUUAUUUUUUGUGUAAUACCAGAAUUUGUGUCCUUUUUAUUUACUACUAAGCAAAUGAAAACCACACAUUGUUCUGUCCUUCCUUGCAAUCCUUCUUUUGUGAAAGUCCUCUUGGAAAUGAUAUAUUUACUGUUUCUGAAAUAAACUGCUGUGAUAUACUUGAAUAAAAGGUGCAAAUUGAA